UAGGGAAUCUUCGGCAAUGGACGAAAGUCUGACCGAGCAACGCCGCGUGAGUGAAGAAGGUUUUCGGAUCGUAAAACUCUGUUGUUAGAGAAGAACAAGGACGUUAGUAACUGAACGUCCCCUGACGGUAUCUAACCAGAAAGCCACGGCUAACUACGUGCCAGCAGCCGCGGUAAUACGGAGGUGGCAAGCGUUGUCCGGAAUUACUGGGCGUAAAGCGCACGCAGGCGGUUGAUUGAGUCAGAUGUGAAAUCCCCGGGCUUAACCCGGGAAUUGCAUCUGAUACUGGUCAGCUAGAGUCUUGUAGAGGGGGGUAGAAUUCCAUGUGUAGCGGUGAAAUGCGUAGAGAUGUGGAGGAAUACCGGUGGCGAAGGCGGCCCCCUGGACAAAGACUGACGCUCAGGUGCGAAAGCGUGGGGAGCAAACAGG
rnacentral:rRNA from 1 species